GAGAGCAAGCAGCAGGCAGGUGGGGAGUUUGUGCCCCUCCCAGUCUCUGGACCACGUUCCUAUCAAGAGGUUGCAUACGGGGUUCCUCAGGACACUGUCAGAGGCUUCCUCCAGUGGAGAGGGUAGCAGGGCUCACCCCUCCCCAUGGGGAUUCCACUGGCCUGUUCCACCUGCUGCGACACCUCCCUUGGGGUUCCUGCCCAACCCGACUACCUUGGGGGCUACAGUGCAGCCAUGCUCUGUCUCUGAGUGCAUCAACCCAGUGACAGGAACCCUGUGUUCAAAUUCUUGGUUAGGGGAAGCAGGUGGUGUUUCUGGAACAUUCUAUCACAUUCUGUUGGACUGGACACCAUCAGGACAUCCUGGGUACCCCCUGGGACUCUAGAUCAGCGUCUCCCAGUGCCAGUCACAAGAGCACAUCCCGUGUUUAUGGUCAGUAACAAGCAACAAGGUCUCUGGGACCCCCAACUCCCUGGGUUAGUGGCUCACAUGAAGCCCAGAGAUCUGGGGCAGGCCAGGGUAUGGGCAGGCACCCCACACGCCCCUGGGCCUGGGGCCAGGGAUGCGGCAGUGAGGGCCCAAUGAGUCCAGGUCUUGAAAGCCUGUGCCAGGUGUGCAGGGUGGCAGGUCCUGAAAAGGCACCCGUUGACCCCUCCAGUGGCAUCAUGACCCCAAGCUCCUCUCACCAUCGCCUUCACACCUGGAGAGCUUUGGAAACCCAGACAGGUGGCAUCCGGGCAGCUGUGGCCGUAGCAGGUGGGCGGAGCCAGCUACUGCAACCCCCUUCGCUCCACACUGCCCACCGACGCUCCCUCAGGUGUUGGAAGUGGGGGCAGGAGAGUUCACGUCAGAGUGCUGUAAUAACGGGAAGACAUGACCAGCCGUUGCUUCCUAUGAAGAUGGUGGGGGCCUGUGGGCCAAUAAAUGUAGGCAGGCUCUCCAAGCUGGAAAACGCCAGGAAAAGGACUCUCUCCCAGAGCCUUGAAAAGAACACAGCCCUGCCAACAUUGCUUCUCGCCCCAUGAGACCCAUCUGGGGCUUCUGACUUCCAGUACUCUGAGAAAAUAACUAUGCUUUUUUUUUUUUUAAGUUAUUUAUUUGACUGCACUGCCUUCGUUGCUGCCUGUGGGCUUUCUCUAGUUGCGCUGAGCAGGGGCUUCUCUAGUUGCAGUGCACAAGCUUCCUGUGAUGGCUUCUCAUUUUGGAGCACAGGAUCUAGGGUGCACAGGCUUCAAUAGUCUUGCCUCAGUGGCUCAGCUGCCCUGUGACAUGUGGGAUCCUAGUUCCUAGACUAGGGAUUGAACCCAUGUACCCUGCAUUGGCAACAAAUUCUUAACUACUGGACCACCAGGGAAGUCCCAAAUGUGUUCUUUUAAUCUACUAAAUUUGUGGUAAUUUGUUAAAAAGCAGCAGUAGGAAAUUAACAUGCCUGAGUGAUAGACACUGUCAAUAUUUUUUAUUUUAACUGGUCUAAUAGGUGGGUGCUGGUUUCUCAUUGUGAUUUAAUUUGUAUUUUUCCAGUGGCUGACUGUGGUAAACAUCUUUUGAUGUGCCUUUUGUCAUCCAUAUAUCUUUUUAGGUGCAAUGUUUGUCAAAUGUUUUGCUUGUUUCCUAAUUGGACUAAUUGUUUUUAAAAGUUUUAAAUGUUUAAAAUAUAUUCUAGGUAAAAGUCCUUUGUUGGAUAUGUGAUUUGCAAAUAUUUUCUCCCUGUCUGUGAUUAAAUCUUUUAAUCUUUUAGCACAGACUUUCUCAGAGCUAAAGUUUUUAAUGUUGGCAAGGUCCAAUUUAUUAAAAUUUUUUUAUAAUUCAUGCUUUCAGUAUCAUUCUGUUUUGAGAUAAGGUCCUUGUAGACAGUGUAUAGUUGGGUCAUGCUUUUUAAAUCCAUUCUACCAAUCUCUGUCUUUUAAUUGGUGUAUUUAGACCAUAUAUAUUUAAAGUAAUUGUUGGUAUAUUAGGCUUUUGUUUGUCAUUUUAAUAUUUCUUUUGCUUUUGUUCCUUUUUUCGUUCCUCUGUUUCUUUUCAUUG
ensembl:lncRNA